GUGGCGUUUCAAAAGUGUAACGGUGGUAUGAGAAAUGACAAAUCGAGCUCGGGUUGCCCACAACAAAGAUGGCCCAAAGUGGCACCAAGGUGCCAGGAGAAGCCAAGCUGAGCUGGCAAUUCCCAGAACGCAGCUGCCACUGUCCUGUAACUCGCAGAGACGGUCAGAAUGUUUCGGCAGCCCAGGACGAGACGAGAAAAGGUUGAAGGAAUUCAGGAAGAGCCUGUCAGGAAGCUGGGGUCAGAGUUCAGGGUCAGCCAUGAUACAGCGCCCCCUGGAGCAGAGAGAGUUAAGGGCCUUGCUCAAGGGUCCAACAGUGGCGGCUUGGUUUGAACCCUGACCUUCCGAUGAGUAACCCAGAGCCUUAACCGCCAAGCCACCGCCGCCCCAAACAAGCUUAAGGAAAGAAAAGGAAGACCCUCUGAUCGGCUCCUCCCAAACACACAGAACAUACUGCACCUCUCUGUGAAAACGGAGAGGAGGACAGAGACAGACAAAGAGAAAGAGAGAGAGGAGAACGGAGCAAGACGGGGAUAGACAGCGACUAUACGAGAAGAAGGAGGGUAUGUAACGUUCGCGUCACCCCAAAAUAAAUGAAGUGUACACUUUCGCAGCCUACCUGCGGAUCUGCUUGUCCCCUCGCCGCCGACAUGGCUGAUGAAGAGA